GAUGAACGCUGGCGGCGUGCCUAAUACAUGCAAGUCGAGCGAACAGACGAGGAGCUUGCUCCUCUGACGUUAGCGGCGGACGGGUGAGUAACACGUGAAUAACCUACCUAUAAGACUGGGAUAACUUCGGGAAACCGGCGCUAAUACCGGAUAAUAUAUUGAACCGCAUGGUUCAAUAGUGAAAGACGGUUUUGCUGUCACUUAUAGAUGGAUCCGCGCCGCAUUAGCUAGUUGGUAAGGUAACGGCUUACCAAGGCAACGAUGCGUAGCCGACCUGAGAGGGUGAUCGGCCACACUGGAACUGAGACACGGUCCAGACUCCUACGGGAGGCAGCAGUAGGGAAUCUUCCGCAAUGGGCGAAAGCCUGACGGAGCAACGCCGCGUGAGUGAUGAAGGUCUUCGGAUCGUAAAACUCUGUUAUUAGGGAAGAACAAAUGUGUAAGUAACUAUGCACGUCUUGACGGUACCUAAGCAGAAAGCCACGGCUAACUACGUG
rnacentral:rRNA from 1 species